rnacentral:rRNA from 1 species
UACGAAGGGGGCUAGCGUUGCUCGGAAUCACUGGGCGUAAAGGGUGCGUAGGCGGGUCUUUUAAGUCAGGGGUGAAAUCCUGGAGCUCAACUCCAGAACUGCCUUUGAUACUGAAGAUCUUGAGUCCGGGAGAGGUGAGUGGAACUGCGGGUGUAGAGGUGAAAUUCGUAGAUAUUCGCAAGAACACCAGUGGCGAAGGCGGCUCACUGGCCCGAUACUGACGCUGAGGCACGAAAGCGUGGGGAGCAAACAGG